rnacentral:rRNA from 1 species
GAAAGUAAGCAAGGGCAGACGGUGGAUGCCUUGGCUCUCGGAGGCGACGAAGGACGUGAUAAGCUGCGAAAAGCUCGGGGGAGGCGCAAAUAGCCGUUGAUCCCGGGAUAUCCGAAUGGGGCAACCCGGCAGGCUGAAGGCCUGUCAUCCCGUAAGGGAGGCGAACGUGGGGAACUGAAACAUCUAAGUACCCAUAGGAGGAGAAAAUAAACAAUGAUUCCGUAAGUAGUGGCGAGCGAACACGGAAGAGCCCAAACCCAUGUCGUCUAGGCGACACGGGGGUUGUAGGACCACGACGUGGCAAGAUAGAGUCAAGUGGAACGCCUUGGAAAAGGCGGUCAUAGAGGGUGAAAACCCCGUACACGACUGACGAUUGAAGCCUAGUGGUAUCCUGAGUAGCGCGGGGCACGAGAAAUCUUGCGUGAAACAGCGGGGCCCAUCCCGUAAGGCUAAAUACUCCCGAGAGACCGAUAGCGAACCAGUACCGUGAGGGAAAGGUGAAAAGAACCCCGAGCAGGGGAGUGAAAUAGACCCUGAACCCGUCUGCCUACAAGCGGUCGGAGCAUAGCAAUAUGUGACGGCGUGCCUUUUGCAUAAUGAACCUACGAGUUACCUUCCCCGGCAAGGUUAAGUACCUAAGGUACGGAGCCGAAGCGAAAGCGAGUCUGAAGAGGGCGGCCAGUCGGGGGGGGUAGACGCGAAACCGAGUGAUCUACCCUUGGCCAGGUUGAAGGUUGGGUAACACCAACUGGAGGACCGGAUGGGUAAGCGUUGAAAAGCUUUCCAAUGAGCUGAGGGUAGGGGUGAAAGGCUAAUCAAACUCGGAGAUAGCUCGUACUCCCCGAAAUGCAUUUAGGUGCAGCCUCUUUAUAGUAUAUCGUGAGGUAGAGCGACUGAUUGGAUGCGAGGGCUUCACCGCCUAUCAAGUCCAGAUAAACUCCGAAUGCGCGAUAUAUAUUUAAAGGGAGUGAGGGCGCGGGUGCUAAGGUCCGUGUCCGAGAGGAGAAGAAUCCAGACCACCGGCUAAGGCCCCCAAAUGAUCGUUGAGUUGAACUAACGAGGUCGGAUCGCAGAGACAGCUAGGAUGUUGGCUUGGAAGCAGCCAUUCAUUUAAAGAGUGCGUAACAGCUCACUAGUCGAGCGAUCUGGCGUGGAUAAUAAUCGGGCAUAAACGAUCUGCCGAAGCCGUGGAUGUCGUAAGACAUGGUAGGGGAGCAUUCCAUGCGGCGUCGAAGAUGAGGGAUGACCCUUGUUGGAGCGCAUGGAAAAGCAAAUGUAGGUAUGAGUAACGAUAAGGGGGGCGAGAAACCCCCCCGCCGAAAGACCAAGGUUUCCUGAUCAACGCUAAUCGGAUCAGGGUGAGUCGGGACCUAAGGCAAAGCCGAACGGCGACGCCGAUGGAAGAAUGGGUUAAUAUUCCCAUACUGCCUCAUGGAGUGACGUGGAGACGGAGAAGUGACAGUCCUGCCGGCUGACGGAAUAGCCGGUUGAAGGGUGUAGAUAUUGAUUCCCGUAGGCAAAUCCGCGGGGAGAGUCGAACCUGACAGUAUACCGAGUACUUGUACGAGGUAAUAUGGACGUAACCAUGCUCCCAAGAAAAUCCGCUAAACUUAUCCAUGCGGCACCCGUACCGUAAACGGACACACGUGGUCGGGUUGAGAAUACUGAGGCGCUCGAGUGAUUCACGGUUAAGGAACUAGGCAAAUUGACCCUGUAACUUCGGGAUAAAGGGUCCUCGUCGUAAGGCGAGGCGCAGAGAAUAGGUCCAGGCAACUGUUUAACAAAAACACAUGGCUAUGCUAAAUGGAAACAUGACGUAUAUAGCCUGACACCUGCCCGGUGCUGGAAGGUUAAGAGGAGAUGUCAUCGCAAGAGAAGCGUUGAAUUGAAGCCCCAGUAAACGGCGGCCGUAACUAUAACGGUCCUAAGGUAGCGAAAUUCCUUGUCGGGUAAGUUCCGACCUGCACGAAUGGUGUAAUGAUCUGGACACUGUCUCAACCGUGAGCUCGGUGAAAUUGUAGUAUCGGUGAAGAUGCCGAUUACCCGCGAUGGGACGAAAAGACCCCGUGAACCUUUACUAUAGCUUUACAUUGAAUUUGGGCAGACGAUGUGUAGGAUAGGCCGGAGGCUUUGAAGGGGGUACGCCAGUAUCCUUGGAGCCGCCGUUGAAAUACGGCCCUUCGGUUGUUUGAGUUCUAACUCCUAGGCAGGAGGACACUGUAUGGUGGGUAGUUUGACUGGGGUGGUCGCCUCCAAAAGCGUAACGGAGGCUUCUAAAGGUGCCCUCAGACCGAUUGGUAACCGGUCGCAGAGUGUAAUGGCAUAAGGGCGCUUGACUGGGAGAGAUACAACUCGAUCAGGUAGGAAACUAGAGCAUAGUGAUCCGGUGGUUCCGCAUGGAAGGGCCAUCGCUCAAAGGAUAAAAGGUACUCCGGGGAUAACAGGCUGAUCAUUCCCAAGAGCUCAUAUCGACGGAAUGGUUUGGCACCUCGAUGUCGGCUCGUCACAUCCUGGGGCUGGAGAAGGUCCCAAGGGUUGGGCUGUUCGCCCAUUAAAGUGGCACGCGAGCUGGGUUCAGAACGUCGUGAGACAGUUCGGUCUCUAUCUAUCGUGGGCGCAGGAGAUUUGAGGGGCUCUGACACUAGUACGAGAGGACCGUGUUGGACGUACCACUGGUUUACCGGUUGUCCCGCCAGGGGCACCGCCGGGUAUCUAAGUACGGAUCGGAUAAGUGCUGAAAGCAUCUAAGUACGAAGCCGGCCUCAAGAUUAGAUCUCCCUGAAGGGUGGUUAUAGACGAUGACCUUGAUAGGCCACAGGUGUAAGGGCGGCGACGUCCGAGCCGAGUGGUACUAAUAGCCCGGGACUUUCCUCAC